rnacentral:lncRNA from 1 species
CCGCUUCAAGUUCCUCCUCUUCAAUUGCAGGUUUUUCAUCUUUCUCUCCAACAACUAGUUCUUCAGGUUUCUCUUCAAGUGCCAGUUCUUCAGGUGUUUCCUCCUUUGCCAGCUCUUCAGGUGUUUCCUCCUUUGCCAGCUCUUCAGGUGUUUCUUUAGCUGCCGGUUCUUCAGGUUUCUCUUCAACCUCCGGUUCUUGUGGUAUUUCCUCUACUUGUACUUCAGAUUUCUCCUCAAUUGUUGGUUCUUCAGGUUUCUCUCUAACCGCUGCUGCAUUAGGUUUCUCUUCAUUGGCUGGUUCUUCAGGUUUUUCUUCAACUACCGAUUCUUCAGGAUUUUCCUCAAUGUUUGGAAAGGGAGCGACAUCAUUAUUGGUAUUGCAUGGAAUUUCACUGCCAGUUUUGUCAUUCAAGUCCACAACUAGUAUAUUCUGCAAAAGAGUUUAAUGUUUCACUUAGUCUUUCAAUAAAGAAGCAGAUGCGAAUCAUUACAUAUACAUAACUAAUAACAUGGAUAAACUUUAUGACAGUAGUUGACCCUUACCUUUUCCACAAGAGUUACUUUUGCAGGUUUCUCCUCUUCAAGUGCUGGUUUCUCUUCAAAUGAUAGUUCAUUAGGUGUUUCUUCCCGUGUUGGUUCUUCAUGUGCUUCUUCAGUUACUGGUUUUUCAGGUUUCUCCUCAAUUGUUGGUUCUUCGCUUGUCUUCUCAACUGAUGGUUCCUCAUGCUUCUCUCCCGUUGUUGAUUUUUCGGGUUUCUCUUCAGUUGUCGAUGGUUCAGUUUUUUUCUCAACCGCUGGUUCUUUUGGCUUCUCCAAAACCAUUUCCGAUUUCUCUUCAGUUGGUGGUUCUUCAUGGUUUUUUUCAACUACUGGUUCUUCUCUUUUUUCCUCAACUGAUGCAUAGUCAGCAAUAUCGUUGUUGGUAUUGCUUGGAAUUGCAUUGUCUGUCUUGUCCUUUGAGCUUACAAUUGGCAUAUUCUGCUAGAAAAAUAUAAAGUUUCAUGUAGUCUUUCAACAGAGAAACCAAUGUAAAUUUGUUGCACAUAUAAAGCUAACAAAUAUGAUGGAUAGACUUUGCGAGAGUGUUUAAUACUCACCUUCUCCGGAAGAGCUUCCGUUUCAGGUUCCUCUUCAAUUUCUGCUUUUUCAUCUUUCUCUUCAACAACUAGUUCUUCAGGUGUCUCUUCAACCGUUGAUUCUUCAGGUUUCUCUUCAAGUGUUAGUUCUUGAGGUGUUUCCUCCUUUGCUAGCUCUUCAGGUGUUUCUGUAACUGCCGGUUCUUCAGGUUCCUCUUCAGCCACCGGCUGUUGACGUAUCUCCUCUACUUGUACUUCAGAUUUCUCCUCAAUUGUUGGUUCUUCAGGUUUCUCCUUAACCGCUGGUACAUCAGGUUUAUCCUCAUUGACUGGUUCUUCAACUGCUGAUUCUUCUAGAUUUUCCUCAAUGUCUGGAAAGCGAGCAACAUCAUUAUUGGUAUUGCAUGGAAUUUCAUUUCCAGUUUCGUUAUUCGAGUCUACAAUUAGCAUAUUCUGCAAAAAGAAUUUAAUGUUUCAUUUAGCCUUUCAAUAAAGAAGCAUAUGCGAAUAACAGUACAUGCAUAACUAACAAAAUGGAUAAACUUUGUGAUAGUGCUUGAUCCUUACCUUUGCCAAAAGAGUUACCUUUUCAGGUUUCUCCUCUUCAACGGUUGGUUCUUCAUGUUUCUUUUCAAAUGCUAGUUCCUUGGUUGUUUCUUCCGGUGUUGGUUCCAUAGGUGUUUCUUCAGUUACUUGUUUUUCGGGUUUCUCUUCAAUUAUUGGUUCUUCGAUUGUCUUCUCAACUGAUGGUUCUUCAAGAUUUUCUCCCACUGUUGGUUUUUGGGGUUUCUCUUCUAUUGUUGGUUGUUCAGGAAUUUUCUCAACUGGUGGUUCUGCUGGAUAUUCCAAAACCAUUGAUUCUUCAGAUUUCUCUUCAAUUGAUGGUUCUUCAUGGGUUUUUUCAACUACUGGUUCUUCAAUUUUUUCCUCAACAGAUGCAUAGUCAACAAUAUCAUUAUUGGUAUUGCUUGGAAUUGCAUCGUCUGUCAUGUCCUUUGAGUUUACUUUUGGCAUAUUCUGCAAUAGAGUUUCAUGUAAUCUUUCAACAGAUAAACAGAUGUAAAUUUGUUGCACAUAUAAAGCUAAUAUGGUGGAUAAACUUUGUGACAGUGUUUAAUCCUCACCUUCUCCUGAAGAUCUUCCGCUUCAAGUUCCUCCUCUACAAUUGCAGUUUUUUCCUCUUCCCCUUCAACAACUAGUUCUUCAGGUGCCUCUUCAGCCGUUGAUUCUUCAGGUUUCUCUUCAAGUGCUAGUUCUUCAGGUGUUUCCUCCUUUGCCAGCUCUUCAGGUGUUUCUUUAGAUGCCGAUUCUUCAGGUUUCUCUUCAGCCAUCGGUUCUUGAGGUAUUUCCUCUACUUGUACUUCAUAUUUCUCCUCAAUUGUUUGUUCUUCAGGUUUCUCUUCAGGUUUCUCCUUAACCACUGGUACAUCAGGUUUCUCUUGAUUAACUGGUUCUUUGGGUUUUUCUUCAACAGCCGAAUCUUCAGGAUUUUCCUCAAUGUCUUGAAAGCAAGCAAUAUCUUUAGUGGUAUUGCAUGGAAUUUCACUGCCAGUUUUGUUGUUCGAGUCUACAAUUAGCAUAUUCUGCAAAAGGAAUUUGAUGUUUCAUUUAGCCUUUUAAUAAAGAAGCAGAUGUGAAUAACAUUACAUGCAUAACUUACAAAAUGGAUAAAUUUUGUGACAGUCCUUGACCCUUACCUUUUCAGGUUUCUCCUCUUCAACAGCUGAUUCUUCAUGUUUCUCUUCAAAUGCUAGUUCUCUGGGUGUUUCUUCCCGUAGUGCUUCUUCAUGUGCUUCUUCAGUUACUGGUUUUUCAGGUUUCUCCUCAAUUGUUGGUUCUUUGAUUGUCUCCUCAACAGAUGGUUCUUCAAGCUUCUCUCCCGUUGUUGAUUUUUCUGGUUUCUCUUCAAUUGCUGGUUGUUCAGGAAUUUUCUCAACAGCUGGUUCUUCUGGCUUCUCUAAAACCAUUGAUUCUUCAGCUUUCUCUUCAAUUGAUGGUUCUUCAUGGUUUUUUUCAACUAUUGGUUCUUCAGUUUUUUCCUCAACGGAUGCAUAGUCAACAAUAUCAUUGUUGGUAUUGCUUGGAAUUGCAUCGUCUGUCAUGUCCUUUGAGUUUACUUUUGGCAUAUUCUACAAUAAAGUUUCAUGUAGUCUUUCAAUAGAUAAACAGAUGUAAAUUUGUUGCAACAUAUAAAGCUAAUAUGGUGGAUAAACUUUGUGACAGUGUUUAAUCCUCACCUUCUCCCGAAGAUCUUCCGCUUUAAGUUCCUCCUCUUCAAUUGCUGUUUUUUCAUCUUUCGUUUCAACAACUAGUUCUUCAGGUGCCUCUUCAGCCGUUGAUUCUUCAGGUUUUUCUUCAAGUGCCAGCUCUUCAGGUGUUUCCUCCUUUGCCAUCUCUUCAGGUGUUUCCUCCUUUGCCAGCUCUUCAGGUGUUUCUUUAGCUGCUGGUUCUUCAGGUUUCUCUUCAGCCGCCAGUUCUUGAGGUAUCUCCUUUUCUACUUCAGAUUUCUCCUCAACUGUUGGUUCUUCAGGUUUCUCUUCAUUAACUGGUUCUUUGGGUUUUUCUUCAACAGCCGAAUCUUCAGGAUUUUCCUCAAUGUCUGGAAAGUGAGCAACAUCUUUAUUGGUAUUGCAUGCAAUUUCACUGUCAGUUUUGUCGUUCAAGUCUACAAUUAGCAUAUUCUGCAAAAAGAAUUUGAUGUUUCAUUUAGCCUAUUAAUAAAGAAGCAGAUGUGAAUAACAUUACAUGCAUAACUUACAAAAUGGAUAAACUUUGUGAUGGUCCUUGACCCUUACCUUUCCAGGCUUCUCCUCUUCAACGGCCAGUUCUUGUUUCUCUUCAAAUGCUAGUUCCCUGGGUGUUUCUUCCUGUAUUGGUUCUUCAUGUGCUUCUUCAGGUACUGGUUUUUCAGGUUUCUCCUCAAUUGUUGGUUCUUCGAUUGUCUCCUCAACAGAUGGUUCUUCAAGGUUCUCUCCCGUUGUUGAGUCUUCUGGUUUCUCUUCAAUUGCUGGUUGUUCAGAAAUUUUCUCAACAGCUGGUUCUUCUGGCUUCUCCAAAACCAUUGAUUCUUCAGCUUUCUCUUCAAUUAAAGGUUCUUCAUGGUUUUUUUCAACUACUGUUUCUUCAGUUUUUUCCUCAACGGAUGCAUAGUCAACAACAUCAUUGUUGGUAUUGCUUGGAAUUGCAUCGUCUGUCAUGUCCUUUGAGCUUACUUUUGGCAUAUUCUGCAAUAAAGUUUCAUGUAGUCUUUCAAUAGAUAAACAGAUGUAAAUUUGUUGCACAUAUAAAGCCAAUAUGGUGGAUACACUUUGUGACAGUGUUUAAUCCUCACCUUCUCCUGAAGAUCUUCCGCUUCAAGUUCUUCCUCUUCAAUUGCUGUUUUUUCAUCUCUCUCUUCAACAACUUGUUCUUCAGGUGCCUCUUCAGCCGUUGAUUCUUCAGGUUUCUCUUCAAGCACUAGUUCUUCAGGUGUUUCCUCCUUUGCCAGCUCUUCAGGUGUUUCUUUAGCUGCCAGUUCUUCAGGUUUCUCUUCAGCUGCCGAUUCUUGAGGUAUUUCCUUUACCUGUACUUUAGAUUUCUCCUCAAAUGUUGGUUCUUCAGGUUUCUCCUUAACCGCAGGUACAUCAGGUUUCUCUUCAGCUGCUGGUUUUUGAGGUUUCUCCUCUACUUGUACCUCGGAUUUCUCCUCAACCAUCGGUUCUUCAGGUUUCUCCUCAACCUCUGGUACGUCAGGUUUCUCUUCAUUAACAAGUUCUUCACUUUUUUCUUCAAUAGUUGAUUCUUCAGGAUUUUCCUUAGUGUCUGGAGAGUAAGCAACAUCAUUAUUGGUAUUGCAUGGAAUUUCACUGCCAGUUGUGUCGUUCGACUCUACCAUUGGCAUAUUCUGCAGAAAGAAUUUAAUGUUUCACUUUGCCUUUCAAUAAAGAAGCCGAUGUAAAUCAGAGGACAUACAUAACUAAAAAAGAUGGAUUAACUUUGUGAUAGUGUUUGACUCUUACCUUUUCGAAAAGAGUUAUCUUUUCAGGUUUCUCCUCUUCAACUGUUGGUUCUUCAUGUUUCUCUUCAAAUGCUAGUUCCUCAGGUGUUUCUUCCUGUAUUGGUUCCUCAGGUGUUUCUUCUUCUGUUACUUGCUUUUCAGGUUUCUCCUCAAUUGUUGGUUCUUUGAUUGUCUCCCCAAUCGAUGGUUCUUCAAGCUUUCCCCCCCCUGUUGGUUUUUCAGGUUUCUCUUCAAUUUUCGGUUGUUCAGGUAUUUUCUCAACUGCCGGUUCUUCUGCCUUCUCCAACACCAUUGAUUCUUCAGAUUCCUCUUCAAUUGAUGAUUCUUCAUGGGUUUUUUUAACUACUGACUCUUCUGUGUUUUCCUCAACUGAUGCAUAAUCAGCAAUGUCGUUGUCGGUAUUGCUUGGAAUUGCAUUGUCUAUCUUGUCCUUUGAGUUUAAUUUUGGCAUAUUCUGCAAUAAAGUUUCAUGUAGUCUUUCAAUAGAUAAACAGAUGUAAAUUUGUUGCACUCAUAAAGCUAAUAUGAUGGAUAAAAUUUGUGACAGUGUUUAAUCCUCACCUUCUCCUGAAAAACUUCUGUUUCAAGUUCCUCCUCUUCAAUUGCUGCUUUUUCAUCUUUCUUCUCUACAACUAAUUCUUCAGGUUCCUCCUCAACGGUUGAUUCUUCAGGCUUUUCUUCAAGUACUAGUUCUUCAGGUGUUUCCUCCUUUGCUAGCUCUUCAGGUGUUCCUUUAGCUGCCGGUUCUUCUGGCUUCUCUUCAGCCUCCGGUUUUUGAGAUAUCUCCUCUACUUGAACUUUAGAUUUCUCAUUAAUUGUUGGUUCUUCAGGUUUCACCUCAACCGCUGGUACAUCAGAUUUCUCCUCAUUAACUGGUUCUUCAGGUUUUUCUUCAACAGCCAAUUCUUCAGGAAUUUCCUCAAUGUCUGGAAAGUGAACAACAUUAUUCUUCGUAUUGCAUGGAAUUUCACUGCCACUGUUGUCGUUCGAGUCUAUAAUUAGCAUAUUCUGCAUAAAGAAUUCAAUGUUUUACUUAGCCUUUCAAUAAAGAAGCAGGUGUGAAUCACAAUACAUGCAUAUCUAACAAAAUGGAUAAACUUUGUGAUAGUGCUUGGCCCUUACCUUUUCUAAAAGAGUUUCCUUUUCAGGUUUCUCCUCUUCGAUGGCUGGUUCUUCAUGUUUCUCUUCAAAUGGUAGUUCAUUUGGUGUUUCUUCUCGUGUUGGUUCUUCAGGUGCUUCCUCAGUUACUGGUUUUACAGGUUUCUCUUCAACUGUUAGUUCUUCGAGUGUCUCCUCCAUCGAUGGUUCCUCAAGUUUCUCUCUUGCUGCUGGUUUUUCAGAUUUAUCUUCAACUAUCGGUUGUUCAGGUUUAUUCUCAAUCGCUGGUUCUGCAGGCUUCUCCGAAACCGCUGAUUCUUCAGAUUUCUCUUCAAUUGGUGAUUCUUCGUGUUUUUUUUCAACUACGGGUUCUUCAGUUUUUUCCUCAACUGAUGCAUAAUCAGCACUAUCAUUGUUGGUAUUGCAUGGAGUUGCAUUUUCUGUCUUGUUCUUUGAGCCUACAAUUGGUGAAUUCUGCAAAAAAUUUAAAAUUUCAUUUAGUCUUUAAAUAGAUAAACAGAUGUAAAUUCAUUGCACAUAUAAAGCUAAUAUGAUAGAUAAACUUUGUGACAGUGUUUAAUCUUCACCUUCUCCUGAAGAGCUUCCAUUUCUAGUUCCUCCUCUUCACUUGCUGGUUUUUCAUCUUUCUCUUCAACAACUAGUUCUUCAGGUGUCUUUAUAGUCUUUGAUUCUUCAGGUGCUUCUUUAUCUGCCCGUUCUUCAGGUUUCUCUUCAGCCACCGGUUCUUGAGGUAUAUUCUCUUGUACUUCAGAUCUCUCCUCAAUUAUUGGUUCUGCAGGUUUCUCUUCAUUGUCUGGUUCUUUGGGUUUUUCUUCGACAGCCAAUUCUUCAAGAUGAUUUUCCUCAAUGUCUGGAAAGUGAGCAACAUCAUUAUUGGUAUUGCAUGGAAUUUCACUGUCAGUUUUGUCGUUCAAGUCUACAAUUAGC